ensembl:lncRNA
CUUACUCCUGAUGUCAUCUUGUUACUGAACGUCAACCUGUCUCAGGUGCUGUGGCUCAUCCCACCAUUCUUGUGCAAGAUGGGCUUUGAACACACAUGCACUCAUUGAACCCAGACUAAGGGAUCUACAUAACUGGAAUAAACAUUCAUUGCAUUUUUUUUUUUUUUUUUGCUUUUUUUUUUUACAUUUUAUUAUUUAUUUUUCCACAAAUUGUUGCUAUUGUGGUGUCCAUUGUUCGGCCAGAGGAGGAUGAGCCCCCCCCUUUUGAGUCUUGGUUCCUCUCAAGGUGAGGAUGUCGGCGUUAAUGGUGUGGCUGCAGGUAUUUUCUGUGCCACAGAGAGUGCGCUAUACCGUGUUCUCUCUCCUGGUAUGUGUGCUCCAGCUGGCUCUGCUCGUCUCUGACGCCAUUAUGGACUUCUUCAUUCAUGAAUUCCCCCCCUGGAGAACCCACAUACAUUUCAUAUUGGUGCUACAGGUGGUGAGCUUCUACUGGUCUGUGCUGGGCUCAGUGUAUGCGCUGCUGGUACAGGACAACAAAGCAGCCUACAUCGCACUGCUGUCUGUCUCACUGAACUUGGGCUCCUUCAUCUCCCGGUUCUGCUAUGAGAUCAUGAGGAUGAGAAGGAGAUGAGUUCUAGAAGAUUUUCUCCGUUUACCCCCACUGGAUUACAGAUUAUUUCCUUGUCUCCCGACUACUCAACCUUGGACUGUAGUAUGGAUUACGAUUUGGGAUUUGCUCAAAAUAAACGUUGCA